rnacentral:rRNA from 1 species
CCUACGGGAGGCAGCAGUGAGGAAUAUUGGUCAAUGUUCGGGAGACUGAACCAGCCAAGCCGCGUGAGGGAUGAAGGUACAGAGUAUCGUAAACCUCUUUUGUCAGGGAACAAAGGCGGGGACGCGUCCCCGGAUGAGUGUACCUGAAGAAACAGCAUCGGCUAACUCCGUGCCAGCAGCCGCGGUAAUACGGAGGAUGCGAGCGUUAUCCGGAUUUAUUGGGUUAAAAGGGUGCGCAGGCGGUCUGUUAAGUCAUCGGUAAAAGCCCGGGGCUCAACCCCGGCCCGCCGUUGAAACUGGCAGUCUCGAGUUGGAGAGAAGUAUGCGGAAUGAGCGGUGUAGCGGUGAAAUGCAUAGAUAUCGCGCAGAACUCCGAUUGCGAAGGCAGCAUGCCGGCUCCACACUGACGCUGAGGCACGAAAGCGUGGGUAUCGAACAGGAUUAGAUACCCGGGUAGUC